rnacentral:rRNA from 1 species
UACGUAGGGUGCAAGCGUUAAUCGGAAUUACUGGGCGUAAAGCGUGCGCAGGCGGUUGUGUAAGACAGAUGUGAAAUCCCCGGGCUCACCUGGGAACUGCAUUUGUGACUGCACAGCUGGAGUGCGGCAGAGGGGGAUGGAAUUCCGCGUGUAGCAGUGAAAUGCGUAGAUAUGCGGAGGAACACCGAUGGCGAAGGCAAUCCCCUGGGCCUGCACUGACGCUCAUGCACGAAAGCGUGGGGAGCAACAGG